UACCACUAGAAUAACACUAAGAAGAUACUCUUUAGAUGUCUCACAAUCUAGGAUUUGAUUUUUAGCUCUAACACAUGAAAAAAUCAAACCUUAGGGCACACUAGCAACCCUUGCCAAAAAUCUCAUCACCCUUCUUGCAACUUUUGCCACUCAAUUUUCUCUUGCCUUUUUCUCAAAUUUUUUUUAAAAUUUUUUUUGAUGAUUUCCAUAUCCCUCCUCUCUAGUUUCAAUCUAAAAUCAUAGCACCCAACCAUAUAGGAC
rnacentral:lncRNA from 1 species